rnacentral:rRNA from 1 species
AGUGAGCGCUGGCGGUAGGCCUAACACAUGCAAGUCGAACGGCAGCACAGUAAGAGCUUGCUCUUACGGGUGGCGAGUGGCGGACGGGUGAGGAAUACAUCGGAAUCUACUUUUUCGUGGGGGAUAACGUAGGGAAACUUACGCUAAUACCGCAUACGACCUACGGGUGAAAGCAGGGGAUCUUCGGACCUUGCGCGAUUGAAUGAGCCGAUGUCGGAUUAGCUAGUUGGCGGGGUAAAGGCCCACCAAGGCGACGAUCCGUAGCCGGUCUGAGAGGAUGAUCAGCCACACUGGAACUGAGACACGGUCCAGACUCCUACGGGAGGCAGCAGUGGGGAAUAUUGGACAAUGGGCGCAAGCCUGAUCCAGCCAUACCGCGUGGGUGGAGAAGGCCUUCGGGUUGUAAAGCCCUUUUGUUGGGAAAGAAAAGCAGCAGGUUAAUACCCCGCUGUUCUGACGGUACCCAAAGAAUAAGCACCGGCUAACUUCGUG